UGUAAGCGUAUACCAAAGUUGUUGCAGUUAAAACGCUCGUAGUCGGAAUUUGGCAGUUCCGGAUGUGUGCACGUCGUGUGCGCACUUCGCGGGGAUUGCUUUUGUGGUCUUGCGUAGGAUGAGGCACUUUUAUUAGUGAACGUCCUCACGCAACCACUUUUUACUGUGAGAGAAUCAGAGUGCUCAAAGCAGGCAUUUGCCGUGAAUGUAUUAGCAUGGAAUAAUAGAAUAGGACUUGGUUCUAUUUUGUUGGUUUGUUGGGACUGAGUAAUGAUUAAGAGGGACAGUUGGGGGCAUUUGUAUUUCGGCGCUAGAGGUGAAAUUCUUAGAUUGCCGAAAGACAAACUGCUGCGAAAGCGUCUGCCAAGGAUGUUUUCAUUGA
rnacentral:rRNA from 1 species